rnacentral:rRNA from 1 species
GUGGGGAAUAUUGGGCAAUGGGGGCAACCCUGACCCAGCAACGCCGCGUGAAGGAAGAAGGCCUUCGGGUUGUAAACUUCUUUUACCAGGGAAAAAGAAAAUGAUGGUACCUGGAGAAAAAGCUACGGCUAACUACGUGCCAGCAGCCGCGGUAAUACGUAGGUGGCAAGCGUUAUCCGGAUUUACUGGGUGUAAAGGGCGCGUAGGCGGGGCAGCAAGUCAGAUGUGAAAAUUAUGGGCUCAACCCAUAACCUGCAUUUGAAACUGUUGUUCUUGAGUGAUGGAGAGGCAGGCGGAAUUCCGUGUGUAGCGGUGAAAUGCGUAGAUAUACGGAGGAACACCAGUGGCGAAGGCGGCCUGCUGGACAUUAACUGACGCUGAUGCGCGAAAGCGUGGGGAGCAAACAGGAUUAGAAACCCGGGUAGUCC